rnacentral:rRNA from 1 species
GAUGAACGCUGGCGGCGUGCUUAACACAUGCAAGUCGAACGGAAAGGCUCCUGCUUGCAGGGGUACUCGAGUGGCGAACGGGUGAGUAACACGUGGGUGAUCUGCCCUGCACUUCGGGAUAAGCCUGGGAAACUGGGUCUAAUACCGGAUAGGACGAUGGUUUGGAUGCCAUUGUGGAAAGUUUUUCGGUGUGGGAUGAGCUCGCGGCCUAUCAGCUUGUUGGUGGGGUAAUGGCCUACCAAGGCGUCGACGGGUAGCCGGCCUGAGAGGGUGUACGGCCAGAGGGGGACAGAAAUACGGACGAGAGUCCUACGGGAGGGAGCAGGGGGGAAGAGUGCACGAUGGGCGCAAGUCUGAAGCAGCGAGGCCGCGUGGGGGAUGACGGCGUGCGGGUGGUAAGAUCAUCACGCUAGGGAAGAAGCGCAAGGGAGGGGACCUUGAUAAGAAGAACCGACUAGCCAAGUA